rnacentral:rRNA from 1 species
GGGGGUCGGACUAAGCCAUGCGAGUCAUGGGGCUCCCUUUUGGGAGCACCGGCGAACGGCUCAGUAACACGUGGCUAACCUACCCUCGGGUGGGGGAUAACCUCGGGAAACUGAGGCUAAUCCCCCAUAGGGGAGGAGGUCUGGAAUGAUCCCUCCCCGAAAGGCGUAAGCCGCCCGAGGAUGGGGCUGCGGCGGAUUAGGUAGUUGGUGGGGUAAUGGCCCACCAAGCCUACGAUCCGUACGGGCCCUGAGAGGGGGAGCCCGGAGAUGGACACUGAGACACGGGUCCAGGCCCUACGGGGCGCAGCAGGCGCGAAACCUCCGCAAUGCGCGAAAGCGCGACGGGGGGACCCCGAGUGCCCUGCCUCUGGCAGGGCUUUUCCGGAGUGUAAACAGCUCCGGGAAUAAGGGCUGGGCAAGUCCGGUGCCAGCAGCCGCGGUAAUACCGGCGGCCCAAGUGGUGGCCACUGUUAUUGGGCCUAAAGCGUCCGUAGCCGGCCCGGUAAGUCUCUGCUUAAAUCCCGCGGCUUAACCGCGGGGCUGGCAGAGAUACUGCCGGGCUUGGGACCGGGAGAGGCCGGGGGUACCCCAGGGGUAGCGGUGAAAUGCGUUGAUCCCUGGGGGACCACCUGUGGCGAAGGCGCCCGGCUGGAACGGGUCCGACGGUGAGGGACGAAGGCCGGGGGAGCAAACCGGAUUAGAUACCCGGGUAGUCCCGGCUGUAAACUCUGCGGACUAGGUGUCGCGUGCCCUUCGGGGGCACGCGGUGCCGAAGGGAAGCCGUUAAGUCCGCCGCCUGGGGAGUACGGUCGCAAGACUGAAACUUAAAGGAAUUGGCCGGG